UACGUAGGGUGCAAGCGUUAAUCGGAAUUACUGGGCGUAAAGCGUGCGCAGGCGGCUUUGCAAGACAGAUGUGAAAUCCCCGGGCUUAACCUGGGAACUGCAUUUGUGACUGCAUAGCUAGAGUACGGUAGAGGGGGAUGGAAUUCCGCGUGUAGCAGUGAAAUGCGUAGAUAUGCGGAGGAACACCGAUGGCGAAGGCAAUCCCCUGGGCCUGUACUGACGCUCAUGCACGAAAGCGUGGGGAGCAAACAGG
rnacentral:rRNA from 1 species